AAAAUGAUUGGGUGUUAUGCUUGUACUGCUCCUGACAGGUGUUUAUAUAUAUAGGUUCAGGAGUAUGUAGGUUGAGAAUGGGUGUGAAAUAACUUUAUUUUACGUUCGUUUCCACCGAAGUGAUAUCGCAGACAAGCUACAAUCAAGGCCAGGGCAAAUAAUUUGAAAUCGUGGAAACCCUAUGGAUUAACUCUGGGUAUAGUGGAGUAGAACGGAAUGAGUACACUGGGGAUACCAAGGAUGAUUCAGAAUAUGGAACAGUGGAGGCUAUUCAUACUGUACAUUCAGAACAUUGAACCAUGGAAGAUCUUCAGACUGUGCAUUCAGAACAUGGAACCAUGAAGGAUAUUCAUGCUGUACAUUUAGCGAAUGGAAUCAUGGAGGAUAUUCAUACUGUACAUUUAGAACAUGGAACCAUGGAAUAUCUUCAGACUGUACAUUCAGAACAUGGAACCAUGGAGGAUAUUCGUACUGUACAUUCAGAACAUGGAACCAUGGAAGUUCUUCAUACUGUACAUUCAGAACAUGGAACCAUGGAGGAUAUUCAUACUGUAUAUUUAGAACAUGACACCAUUGAAUAUCUUCAAACUGUACAUUUUUGACUAGAGUACUAAAGAUUAGCAUAUUUACAAUGUACCAAACGACUUUCAUUUUAGAAAUUGAUACGUAGGAGAGUGGGAGGGGCGGUAAGAUAUCUUUAUAUUUAAUCCAAAAUCUCAAAAAGUAAUAGAAAUAGAUGCGUGUGCUACUGAAAGAUAGCUAGUAUCUCGUCAUAGAUUAUAAAAGUAUUAUCAUAAGAAAUACGUCAUAGAUUAUCAGUAUUUUAUUUAAUCAUCAUUGCCAGAUAACAUUGAUAUUUAGCGCAUAUAUCAUCAUAUUUUUAAUUUGUCAGUAAAUAUUAACUUCCGAUCUACAUCUAUAAAUAGUUAAAACCCUUUAAAUCCGUCGCGGAUCGUGGUUUUCCGUUUAGCCAGCAGUUGCUAUCGUCUUUUAAAAUAGUAUGUUACAUCAUCUUCUUUGAAGCGAAGCGCGAAUCCGAAAUUUGACUGGAUAUUCCUUCGAAUAAAUAGUCGAGGAAUGUUUUGGAGAAAAAAAAAACCUAACAUGGUAGCGUUUACAGUGUCGGAGAGACGGCAUAUUCGUUGUUUGUAUUCGUUGUUUCAUCCGUUUGACUAGCCGAGCAAUUUCAUGACAAGUUUGAAAUAAAAACAUCAAAACUUA